AUCAAGUCAGAAAUCAUUCCUGCUUGCAGGAUAAGAAUUCUGGCUUGUUGACCCGCUCACACAUGAGGAAGUAGCGAUUUUUCUUGGAAAAUCAGCGGAUUUUGAAUGGGUGUAGAAUUGCGUGAGCUGCAUGGCAGCGGAGCAAUUCGUG
rnacentral:sRNA from 1 species